rnacentral:rRNA from 1 species
UAGAGUUUGAUCCUGGCUCAGAGUGAACGUUGGCGGCGUGCCUAACACAUGCAAGUCGAACGAGAACCAAGAAGCUUGCUUUUUGGGGAAAGUGGCGAACGGGUGAGUAACACGUGAGUAACCUGCCCUCGAGUGGGGAAUAACUUCGCGAAAGCGAGGCUAAUACCGCAUAAUAUUUCGAAACACAAGUUCUCGAAAUCAAAGCUUUCGAGCGCUUGAGGAUGGGCUUGCGUCCUAUUAGCUAGUUGGUGGGGUAAUGGCCUACCAAGGUGACGAUGGGUAGCCGGCCUGAGAGGGUGAUCGGCCACACUGGAACUGCGACACGGUCCAGACUCCUACGGGAGGCAGCAGUGGGGAAUUUUGCGCAAUGGGCGAAAGCCUGACGCAGCGACGCCGCGUGGAGGAUGACGGCCUUCGGGUUGUAAACUCCUGUCAGAGGUGAAGAAAAUCUUCGGAUUGACGGUAACCUCAGAGGAAGCCCCGGCUAACUACGUGCCAGCAGCCGCGGUAAUACGUAGGGGGCAAACGUUGCUCGGAAUUACUGGGCGUAAAGGGUGUGCAGGUGGCUGAGAAAGUCGAUGAUGAAAUCCCGAGGCUUACCUUCGGAACUGUCAUCGAAACUGCUUGGCUUGAGGAUGGUUGAGGAAGACGGAAUUCCCGGUGGAGCGGUGAAAUGCGUAGAUAUCGGGAGGAACACCAGAGGCGAAGGCGGUCUUCUGAGCCAUUCCUGACACUGAGACACGAAAGCUAGGGGAGCGAACGGGAUUAGAUACCCCGGUAGUCCUAGCUGUAAACGAUGGGCACUAGAUGUUCUCGCUUAUUGCGG